UUGGCAGUAUCCUCUAUUAGAUUUAACACUAAUAAGGCUAGUUUGGUAGAGAAGGCAGGUGUGCACUGAAGGUUUUUUUAUCCUUACUUCCUGACACCAUGAAAGCAGUAGCUGGCUGCUAGGGUCGGUUACACUUGUUCCAAGAGGAGUGCAGCCUCACACCUGGCAGGAAGAUGACCAUCAUUGUCUGAAGUGCUCUUGAGCUAGUGGGAACUGAGACCUGUCAGCUACCUUCAAUUCCUUUGAUCACAAGAUGUUAUUGACUUGUCUAUGGACUGUGGCAGGUGUCAAGAGGCUGUUCUUAGGCAACUGAAUUCCUUCACUGGGAUGGGCAUGGAAGGGCUGUAGAAGCAAAUUACGAAGAUACUGUAUACUUACUAAAAGAUCUUUGAUGGGGGAAAGGAGGAGGCCUGGAAGGAUGAUCAUAUUCCAAACUCAAGGUCUCUUUCUUGAGAAGAACCAUGGCUGUCCAAUGAGCCUGCUACUCUGACCCAUUGAGGGAGAAUCAUCUCAGGAUGAGUGGCUGGCUCCAUCAUUCUAGAGCAAAACAUCUCAUUAACAUAUCUCCAAUGGGUCCUGUUACGCUGAAAUUUAAGAGGCACCAGAGGGAGAAAUUCCUUUCUCUAACCCUGCAACUGCAAGAAGCUCUAAUCUCUUGGGAAUGGAUGAAGGGAGAGAGGAUUUUAGAAACAAAACCUAGUAAAAAAAAAAUAAGUAGGUUUUAAAAAAUGCAAACAUAGAAAUGCUCUUUGGUAUUAGCAAGAUGACAGCUUUACUAAGAAGGGGGAAAGCCUGGCUUAUGUCCUUAAACUGCUUAAGCAUUUUCUGGAAUCCACAAACUAUCUUGACAUCACACUCCAGCUAAAUAAAAGCAAAAAAUAACCUACAAUCCUCAUUAGUUUAUGUAAUAGUCUGGGGAUGGUGCUACUAUGCUAAUUUUACUAGUGACUAUCACUGCUGAAUGUGAUUAAUCUAAUCCUAGCUCUAGUCCAGUUAUUUUACUAUCUAAGAAUGAUUAUUAGAUUAUUUUUAAAACUUUUGUGUGUGUGGAGGGAAACUGAACUAUUCCAUUCUUAGUUGGG